rnacentral:rRNA from 1 species
CAGCCGCCGCGGUAAUACGAAGGGGGCUAGCGUUGUUCGGAAUUACUGGGCGUAAAGCGCACGUAGGCGGAUAUUUAAGUCAGGGGUGAAAUCCCGCAGCUCAACUGCGGAACUGCCUUUGAUACUGGGUAUCUUGAGUAUGGAAGAGGUUAGUGGAAUUGCGAGUGUAGAGGUGAAAUUCGUAGAUAUUCGCAGGAACACCAGUGGCGAAGGCGGCUAACUGAUCCAUAACUGACGCUGAGGUGCGAAAGCGUGGGGAGCAAACAGGAUUAGAGACCCCUGUAGUCCCUGUCUCUUAUAC